rnacentral:rRNA from 1 species
AAGAGUUUGAUCCUGGCUCAGGACGAACGCUGGCGGCGUGCCUAACACAUGCAAGUCGAACGGAGAAUUUCAAAGAGCUUGCUCAGAGAAAUUUUUAGUGGCGGCGUGGGUAACCUACCCAUAAACCCGGGACAACCCUUGGAAACGAGGGCUAAUACCGGAUAAUCUUAGAUGUUGGCAUCAACGUUUAAGAAAAGGUGGCCUCUGUAUAUGCUACCGAUUAUGGAUGGACCCGCGUCUGAUUAGCUAGUUGGUGGGGUAAAGGCCUACCAAGGCGACGAUCAGUAGCCGGCCUGAGAGGGUGAACGGCCACACUGGGACUGAGACACGGCCCAGACUCCUACGGGAGGCAGCAGUGGGGAAUCUUCCGCAAUGGACGAAAGUCUGACGGAGCAACGCCGCGUGUAUGAUGAAGGUCUUCGGAUUGUAAAGCUUCCCGUAAAUAAUGGGAAGGAAUGACGGUACCUGUUGAAUAAGCCCCGGCUAACUACGUGCCAGCAGCCGCGGUAAUACGUAGGGGGCGAGCGUUGUCCGGAGUUACUGGGCGUAAAGAGCGUGUAGGCGGUUGGAAAAGUCAGGUGUGAAAUUCUUCGGCUCAACCGGGGGACUGCGCCUGAAACUUUCCGACUGGAGUUUGGGAGGGGCAACUGGAAUUCCUGGUGUAACGGUGAAAUGUGUAGAUAUCAGGAGGAACACCCGUGGCGAAGGCGGGUUGCUGGACCAAAACUGACGCUGAGACGCGAAAGCGUGGGUAGCAAACAGGAUUAGAUACCCUGGUAGUCCACGCUGUAAACGAUGAGUGCUAGGUGUAGGGGGUAUCGACCCCCUCUGUGCCGCAGCUAACGCAAUAAGCACUCCGCCUGGGGAGUACGGUCGCAAGACUGAAACUCAAAGGAAUUGACGGGGGCCCGCACAAGCGGUGGAGUAUGUGGUUUAAUUCGACGCAACGCGAAGAACCUUACCAAGGCUUGACAUCCAGUAAAAACUGUAGAGAUACAGUGUGCCUUCGGGCGUACGGAGACAGGUGGUGCAUGGUUGUCGUCAGCUCGUGUCGUGAGAUGUUGGGUUAAGUCCCGCAACGAGCGCAACCCCUACAGCUAGUUGCCAGCACAUAAAGGUGGGAACUCUAGCAGAACUGCCGUUGACAAAACGGAGGAAGGUGGGAUGACGUCAAAUCAUCAUGCCCCUUAUGUCUUGGCUACACACGUACUACAAUGGCCUGAACAGAGGGAAGCGAAACUGCGAAGUUAAGCGAACCCCUUAAAACAGGUCCCAGUUCGGAUUGUAGGCUGCAACUCGCCUACAUGAAGUUGGAAUCGCUAGUAAUCGCAGGUCAGCAUACUGCGGUGAAUACGUUCCCGGGCCUUGUACACACCGCCCGUCA